rnacentral:piRNA from 1 species
UCUCUUAAGUAAACUAUUUAUAUGGGUCCGU